rnacentral:rRNA from 1 species
GAUGAACGCUGGCGGCGUGCUUAACACAUGCAAGUCGAACGGGAUCCAUCAGGCUUUGCUUGGUGGUGAGAGUGGCGAACGGGUGAGUAAUGCGUGACCGACCUGCCCCAUACACCGGAAUAGCUCCUGGAAACGGGUGGUAAUGCCGGAUGCUCCGACUCCUCGCAUGGGGUGUCGGGAAAGAUUUCAUCGGUAUGGGAUGGGGUCGCGUCCUAUCAGGUAGUCGGCGGGGUAACGGCCCACCGAGCCUACGACGGGUAGCCGGCCUGAGAGGGCGACCGGCCACAUUGGGACUGAGAUACGGCCCAGACUCCUACGGGAGGCAGCAGUGGGGAAUAUUGCACAAUGGGCGCAAGCCUGAUGCAGCGACGCCGCGUGCGGGAUGACGGCCUUCGGGUUGUAAACCGCUUUUGAUCGGGAGCAAGCCUUCGGGUGA